rnacentral:rRNA from 1 species
AGUUUGAUCCUGGCUCAGGAUGAACGCUGGCGGCGUGCUUAACACAUGCAAGUCGAACGAAACACCUUAUUUGAUUUUCUUCGGAACUGAAGAUUUGGUGAUUGAGUGGCGGACGGGUGAGUAACGCGUGGGUAACCUGCCCUGUACAGGGGGAUAACAGUCAGAAAUGACUGCUAAUACCGCAUAAGACCACAGCACCGCAUGGUGCAGGGGUAAAAACUCCGGUGGUACAGGAUGGACCCGCGUCCGAUUAGCUGGUUGGUGAGGUAACGGCUCACCAAGGCGACGAUCAGUAGCCGGCUUGAGAGAGUGAACGGCCACAUUGGGACUGAGACACGGCCCAAACUCCUACGGGAGGCAGCAGUGGGGAAUAUUGCACAAUGGGGGAAACCCUGAUGCAGCGACGCCGCGUGAAGGAAGAAGUAUCUCGGUAUGUAAACUUCUAUCAGCAGGGAAGAAAAUGACGGUACCUGACUAAGAAGCCCCGGCUAACUACGUGCCAGCAGCCGCGGUAAUACGUAGGGGGCAAGCGUUAUCCGGAUUUACUGGGUGUAAAGGGAGCGUAGACGGACGGGCAAGUCUGAUGUGAAAGCCCGGGGCUUAACCCCGGGACUGCAUUGGAAACUGUCCAUCUUGAGUGCCGGAGAGGUAAGCGGAAUUCCUAGUGUAGCGGUGAAAUGCGUAGAUAUUAGGAGGAACACCAGUGGCGAAGGCGGCUUACUGGACGGUAACUGACGUUGAGGCUCGAAAGCGUGGGGAGCAAACAGGAUUAGAUACCCUGGUAGUCCACGCCGUAAACGAUGCCCACAAGGUGUCGGG